UGACCUGUCCAAGACACCAAAGAAAAAAAACUGAGUCACGGGACCUCAACACAGAAACACGUCCUGGGAAGGGCUGUGUGCUAGAGCCAAGGAAGAAGACACUGAUUUGUAGACGGAGUUCUUGAACCAGGAAGGGGAAAUCCCUGGUUACAGAGCCCAGGCUCCCAAACUUUUUGCCACGUGGAGUGUGUCUGUCAGCCAGACUCAGAGCUCCUAGAAGGGAAGACUGGUUUCCCAUGACACCUGCUAGGAUUUCUCAAGGGCACCCGACAGCACAUGGCAGCAGGGCUCCUCUGAAAACUCGAGCGCCCGAUCCCGUGGGAGAGAGCUCUCCGACACGAAGGGACGCGGCCAGUCAGCAUAGAUCGCGACUUAUCAGGGGACGGGCACCGCCUCCUCCCGGUCCACCCUGACGGCCGCUCCAGUCCGCAGUCAUCAGUCGGAGGAGGCAACGCGGGAAAGGUCGGUCUGGAUAAGCUCAAGGAGACCUGGGCUGGGGCUGCCUUAUGGCUGCGUUAUGGAGCUCGGGCCCGAUGCUGAAGCGCGCAGGGAGCCUGUCAGCACACCCAGGGUUUGGACAGAUAAUGUGCGAUGCACCUUGAGGAUGAAUUGAAGGUGAACCCAGGGUCGCCUCAAGGCAGAAAUAAAGAUCAGUCUUACCU